ACGGUAACAGGAAGAAGCUUGCUUCUUUGCUGACGAGUGGCGGACGGGUGAGUAAUGUCUGGGAAACUGCCUGAUGGAGGGGGAUAACUACUGGAAACGGUAGCUAAUACCGCAUAACGUCGCAAGACCAAAGAGGGGGACCUUCGGGCCUCUUGCCAUCGGAUGUGCCCAGAUGGGAUUAGCUUGUUGGUGGGGUAACGGCUCACCAAGGCGACGAUCCCUAGCUGGUCUGAGAGGAUGACCAGCCACACUGGAACUGAGACACGGUCCAGACUCCUACGGGAGGCAGCAGUGGGGAAUAUUGCACAAUGGGCGCAAGCCUGAUGCAGCCAUGCCGCGUGUAUGAAGAAGGCCUUCGGGUUGUAAAGUACUUUCAGCGGGGAGGAAGGGAGUAAAGUUAAUACCUUUGCUCAUUGACGUUACCCGCAGAAGAAGCACCGGCUAACUCCGUGCCAGCAGCCGCGGUAAUACGGAGGGUGCAAGCGUUAAUCGGAAUUACUGGGCGUAAAGCGCACGCAGGCGGUUUGUUAAGUCAGAUGUGAAAUCCCCGGGCUCAACCUGGGAACUGCAUCUGAUACUGGCAAGCUUGAGUCUCGUAGAGGGGGGUAGAAUUCCAGGUGUAGCGGUGAAAUGCGUAGAGAUCUGGAGGAAUACCGGUGGCGAAGGCGGCCCCCUGGAC
rnacentral:rRNA from 1 species